CCUACGGGAGGCAGCAGUGAGGAAUAUUGGUCAAUGGACGAGAGUCUGAACCAGCCAAGUAGCGUGAAGGAUGACUGCCCUAUGGGUUGUAAACUUCUUUUAUAUGGGAAUAAAAUGUUCCACGUGUGGGAUUUUGUAUGUAACAUAUGAAUAAGGAUCGGCUAACUCCGUGCCAGCAGCCGCGGGAAUACGGAGGAUCCGAGCGUUAUCCGGAUUUAUUGGGUUUAAAGGGAGCGUAGGUGGAUUGUUAAGUCAGUUGUGAAAGUUUGCGGCUCAACCGUAAAAUUGCAGUUGAAACUGGCAGUCUUGAGUACAGUAGAGGUGGGCGGAAUUCGUGGUGUAGCGGUGAAAUGCUUAGAUAUCACGAAGAACUCCGAUUGCGAAGGCAGUUCACUGGACUGCAACUGACACUGAGGCUCGAAAGUGUGGGUAUCAAACAGGAUUAGAUACCCCUGUAGUC
rnacentral:rRNA from 1 species